rnacentral:lncRNA from 1 species
AUUUAUUAUUUCUGCUUUACUGCAUUUGUAUGCCAUGUUUCUGUGACCUAGUGUAUAGUCAAUCUUUGUGAAUGUGCCAUGUGGUGCUGAGAAGAAGGUGUAUUCCUUUUUGUCCCUAUUUAUUUUUCUCCAUAUGUCUAUUAACUCUAAUUUUUCUAAGAUUUCAUUCACUUCUUUUACCUCUCUCUUAUUUAUUUUUUGAUUUGAUUUAUCUAAAUUUGAUAGUGGUUGGUUCAAAUCUCCCACUAAUAUGGUUUUACUGUCUAUUUCUUCCUUCAGUUCUCCUAGUUUCUCCAUUAGAAAUUUGGGUGCUAUACUAUUUGGUAGAUACAUGUUGAUCAGUGAUAUUUCCUCAUUAUCUAAAGUCCCUUUUAACAAAAUAUAGUUACCUUCCCUAUCCCUUUUAAUCAUGUCUAUUUUUGCUUUGGCUUUGUCAGAUAUCAUGAUUGCAACUCCUGCCUUCUUUCUAUUAGUUGAGGCCCAGAAGGUCUUACUCCAUCCUUUAAUUCUUACCUUGUGGGUGUCUACCUGCCUCAUGUAUGUUUCUUGAAGACAACAUAUGGUAGGGUUUUGGAUUCUAAUCCAUUCUGCUAUUUCUGGCUUUUCUGGGAGUCCAAUUAUUCUUAAAUUUUCUCUUCUCCCCCUGUUUUCCAGAUCUAUCACCUUGUCGGUGAGAUAUUUUAUGUUCUCUUCUAAUUUCUUGGUGUUUUGGCUUUGCUUUAUUAGUUCUUGCUUUAAAGCCUGGUUUUCUUUUACAGUUUGGUCAAACUGGUUUUGUAGAUGCGUGAAUUUCUUUUGCAUCAUUUCCCACUUUUCCUCCCAGAGGGCUUCCAUCUUUUUGGUCCUUUCUGAUUCAAAUUCUUCAUGUGUUUGUGGAGAGUUUCUAUUUCCUUUGGAAGAUUUUGGAGAAUUUUCUUGUAUAUCUUCUUCUAUCUGCUCUGUAUUUUGUAUUUUGGCUCCAUAGAAUGUGUCCAGAGUCGCCCCUUUCUUCUUAUUUUUCUUGGUAUUUUGGGGCUUCUGUGCUUCUGUGGAGUUUGUCAUCUCUGAACGUGGAGGAUUGGCUUUUCUUGUCUUUGUCUGGUGAUCAGAGGCUUUAGUCCUGGGCAGAUGUUGGUUCUAUGAGCGUUCCCUGGGUUAAACUGAAUAUGCCUCACUGGAACUGGAAUGGAAGGGUCGGACCACGAGGCCACACUCUCCCCCUGGCUCGAUUUCCGGAAGUUGCCUUCAGAAUCCCUGGCCGUGAGGCUGUUUCGUCGGCCUGCGGGGGGAUGGGCUGCCGCUUCCCCAAGCUCCGAGAGCACAGACUUUCACUGAGACUUGGAUAGCAGGAUCCAGCCCGUGAGGCUGUCUUGCCCGCCCUGAGGGUUGCUGUUGUUUUGACCAGCUCUCUGCAGCGGAGGCCCCAGGCAGUAACUUUCACCUGGACCGACCAGCUCUUUGCAGCGGAGGCCCCAGGCAGUAACUUUCACCCGGACCGACCGGCUCUCUGCAGCGGAAGCCCCAGGCAGUAACUUUCACCCGGACUGGGACUUGGGUAGAAGACCCUGAGGGUUGUUGUUCCUCAGACCCUGCUCUCUGAGCCCGGCGCGGCUGCCGCUUCCCAAGCUCCGAGAGCACAGACUUUCACUGAUACUUGGAUAGCAGGAUCCAGCCCGUGAGGCUGUCUUGCCCGCCCUGAGGGUUGCUGUUGUUUUGACCAGCUCUCUGCAGCGGAGGCCCCAGGCAGUAACUUUCACCUGGACCGACCAGCUCUUUGCAGCGGAGGCCCCAGGCAGUAACUUUCACCCGGACCGACCGGCUCUCUGCAGCGGAAGCCCCAGGCAGUAACUUUCACCCGGACUGGGACUUGGGUAGAAGACCCUGAGGGUUGUUGUUCCUCAGACCCUGCUCUCUGAGCCCGGCGCGGCUGCCGCUUCCGGGAGCCUUGGACUCUGCGCUCCUACCCCUGAGGUCCGAGGGAUCUC